ACUCCUACGGGAGGCAGCAGUGGGGAAUAUUGCACAAUGGGCGCAAGCCUGAUGCAGCCAUCGCCGCGUGUGUAGAAGCAAUGGGCCUUCGGGUUGAUAAGCACUUUCAGUCGUGAGGAAGGUAGUGUAGUUAAUAGCUGCAUUAUUUGACGUUAGCGACAGAAGAAGCACCGGCUAACUCCGUGCCAGCAGCCGCGGUAAUACGGAGGGUGCGAGCGUUAAUCGGAAUUACUGGGCGUAAAGCGCAUGCAGGUGGUUUGUUAAGUCAGAUGUGAAAGCCCGGGGCUUAACCUCGGAAUUGCAUUUGAAACUGGCAGGCUAGAGUCUUGUAGAGGGGGGUAGAAUUUCAGGGUGUAGCGGUGAAAUGCGUAGAGAUCUGAAGGAAUACCAGUGGCGAAGGCGGCCCCCUGGACAAAGACUGACGCUCAGAUGCGAAAGCGUGGGGAGCAAACAGGAUUAGAUACCCUGGUAGGAUAG
rnacentral:rRNA from 1 species